rnacentral:rRNA from 1 species
UACGUAGGGGGCAAGCGUUGUCCGGAAUCAUUGGGCGUAAAGAGCGUGUAGGCGGCCAGAUAAGUCCGCUGUGAAAGUCCAGGGCUCAACCCUGGAAUGCCGGUGGAUACUGUCGGGCUCGAGUCCGGAAGAGGCGAGUGGAAUUCCUGGUGUAGCGGUGAAAUGCGCAGAUAUCAGGAGGAACACCAAUGGCGAAGGCAGCUCGCUGGGACGUGACUGACGCUGAGACGCGAAAGCGUGGGGAGCAAACAGG